UACGUUGAUAGGCCGGGUGUGUAAGCGCAGCGAUGCGUUGAGCUAACCGGUACUAAUGAACCGUGAGGCUUAACCUUACAACGCCGAAG
rnacentral:rRNA from 2 species